GGUUUCGUGGUGUAGUUGGUUAUCACACAAGUCUAACAACAGUUUCACUUGUGGUCCCCGGUUCGAGCCCGGGCGAAAUCA
rnacentral:tRNA from 1 species